GACAAACGCUGGCGGCGUGCUUAACACAUGCAAGUCGAACGGUACUCCUACGGGAGUAUAGUGGCGGACGGGUGAGUAACACGUAGCUAAUCUACCCUGAUGUGGGGAAUAACCCCUCGAAAGAGGAGCUAAGACCGCAUAAGUUCUCUCUUGUUAGAGAGAGAAGAAACUUUGGCAGUGAAAAGCCAGAGGCGUUAGGAUGAGGCU
rnacentral:rRNA from 1 species